rnacentral:rRNA from 1 species
AUUGAACGCUGGCGGCAGGCCUAACACAUGCAAGUCGAACGAGUGGCGGACGGGUGAGUAAUGUAUGGGGAUCUGCCCGAUAGAGGGGGAUAACUACUGGAAACGGUGGCUAAUUCCGCAUACCAUCGUAUGUAGCCAUACGGGAUUAGCGAGUAGGGGGGGUAAAGGCUCACCUGGGCGACGAUCCCUAGCUGGUCUGAGAGGAUGAUCAGCCACACGGGGACUGAGACAGGGCCCAGACUCCUACGGGAGGCAGCAGUGGGGAAUAUUGCACAAUGGGCGCAAGCCUGAGGCAGCCAGGCCGCGUGUAUGAAGAAGGCCUUAGGGUUGUAAAGUACUUUCAGCGGGGAGGCGUUACCCGCAGAAGAAGCACCGGCUAACUCCGUGCCAGCAGCCGCGGUAAUUC